GUAGCUGGGAUUACAGAUGUGUGCCACCACGGCCGCGUAAUUUUCUGGUGUAUUUUUAGUAGAGAUGGGGUUUCACCAUGUUGGUCAGGCUGGUCUCAAACUCCUGACCUCAAGUGAUCUGCCCACCUCGUCCUCCCAAAGUCCUGGGAUUACAGGUGUAAGCCACCACACCUGGUCUCUGAGGUCCUUUUCUAAUGGGAGAUCUGUAAGCAUCAUUUCAAGCUUUUCUAUGAAAAUUGGUGUAUUUAAAUUUUCCUUUAAAGUCCAUUUUGUUAACAUGUAUUUUUACUAUGAAAUCGCCCAUUUUCCCAAGGUUUCCAGUUUGAUUCAAAAAAUUUCUCUUGACUUCUAAUUUAUCUCUUUCUAGUCUUCAACAGAAUUCUUAAUCCUAUGUAUCUGUUUCCAUCAAUAAUAUUUUAAAAAUAUACUUCUUAGUUUAGCUUUUCAAUUGAGAGAAUUGUUAUAUUUGACAAUUUCUCAUGACCCAAUGACAAUCUUUAAUGAUUUUAAAUUAAUUUCUACCUAAUACAGUACCUCUUGCAGGACCCCGCUGUCAGUGGUAUUGUUACUGACCAGAGUUUCUUGGCUCUCCAGUAACAGAAAUUGAGAUGAGGCUGAGCAAGUUUCCCAGACAAAGCUUUUGUUUAAGUGUUUUGUUUAGCUUGGUUAAAUUUAUUCCACAAAGCUUUUAUUUUUGUGUUUUAUAUUCAAACACAAGGGAGGCAGCAGAAGAGAGAAUUCUGUCUGGCUCCCUGAAGAGAUUCAGGAGGGGAGUGUUUUUAAGGUUUGGCUCUGUUGCCCAGCCUGGAGUUUAGUGGCACCAUCUUGGCUCAGUGCAUCCUCCUGGCCUCAAGCCAUCUUCCCACCUCAGCCCCCCGAGUAGCUGGGACUACAGGCAUGAACCACCACACUCAGCCCAGCAUGUUAUUAAGUUUCAGUAAUUAGUCUUGCCAUUUGUUUUUCAUUCAACACUGAGAUUUUGUUUUUCUUUACUAAUUAUCUCAUAUAUGGACUUUUGUUCUAUUAAACUAUUUAUUUGAUGUACAAAUUGAGGGUGAUUCUUGCAGAUUAUCUAGCAAAUAAAUACAUUUUUGUUUUUAGAAAAACCACAAUGUUAACUUGUUAGAUAUCACAACUGCUAUGACUUUAAGGAUUUGGCUGGACAGUGUCUUAGACAUAUUUGAUAAGGGUGGACAUUGGGUAAAUGGUUUGGGGGAACAUGAGAGCAGAUGAGACUGUAGGCAGAUGAGACUGAAUCCAAAUGGAAAGAGACAUUUUUUUUCUCCCAGUUGGGGCAGGCAGUGAAGUGAAAUGGGUCUGUGGAUUGGACUGUCAGGUAGAAACCUUGUAUUUCUUUGGAGGCUGUCUUUCUUUGGUUAAAUACAUUGGAGUAUUUUCUGUGGAGUUGCAGUAACUGCUGGGGAAUCUUUAAGAGAAGAGAUGUUACACUUUACACUGCUAUUGCAAGAUUCCUAGAAAUAUGAAAUUACUGGAAAAGAAAUUAUAAACAACCACAUCAAUGCCAUGUCAGUAAAGCAGAGACAACAUCAAACUUCAUUAUAGAGGCCAAACCCCAUCCAAAUCCAGGUCAGUGGAAGCUGUGUACCAAGAGCCCUGGUGAGAAUCUCGAUGCUAUAUCAAUAUUGUAGCUGUCAUAUCAGCCUUACGGUGUCAUCAGUAUUACAGGUGUCAUAUGAGUCUUAGGGGUGUGUUAGCAGUAUUGUGGGUGUCAUAUCAGUAUUGUGUGUAUCAUAUUUGUAUUGCAGGUGUCAUAUUGGUGUUAUAGGUGUCAUAUCAGUAUUGUGGGUGUCCCAUCAGUCUUAUGGGGAUCAUAUCACUAUUGUGGGUGUCACAUCAGUCUUAUGGGCAUCAUAUCAGUCUUACGGGUGUCAUAUCUGAAUCUCAGGAGUGUCAUAUGAAUUUUGUGGUGCCAUGUCAGUCUUAUGGAUGUCAUAUCAGGUAUUACAGGUGUCACAUCAGUCUUAUGGGGGGGGUCAUAGCAGUCUUGCAGGUAUCAUCAGUAUUGUGGGUGUCACAUCAGUCUUACAGGUGUCACAGCAGUCUUGUGGGUGUCAUAUCAGUAUUAUGAUAUGCCAUGAUAUGUCAUACCAGUAUGACAUGUUUUCUAAAAAUACCCUCACAGACAUACCUAGACAUAGUGCUUUAAUAGCUGUGUAUCCCUUAAUCCAGUAAAGUUUACACCUAAAAUUAACCAUCACAGGCCAGGAGCAGUGGCUCAUGCCUGUAAUCCUAGCACUUUGGGAGGCCAAGGUGGGUGGAUUACGAGGUCAGGAGUUUGAGACCACCCUGGCCAACAUGA